rnacentral:rRNA from 1 species
UCGAGAAUCUUCGGCAAUGCGCGAAAGCGUGACCGAGCAAUGCCGCGUGCGGGAUGAAGGCCUUCGGGUUGUAAACCGCGAAAGUAAGGAGGAAGGCUCUGUGAAGAGCAGAGUUUGACCGAUUUACAGUAAGGACGGGCUAAGUUCGUGCCAGCAGCCGCGGUAAGACGAACCGUCCAAACGUUAUUCGGAAUUAUUGGGCUUAAAGGGUGCGUAGGCGACGCGGCAAGUCAGGUGUGAAAUCCCACGGCUCAACCGUGGAACUGCGCUUGAAACUGCCGUGCUCGAGGGAGACAGAGGUAAGCGGAACUGAUGGUGGAGCGGUGAAAUGCGUUGAUAUCAUCAGGAACACCAGUGGCGAAAGCGGCUUACUGGGUCUCUUCUGACGCUGAGGCACGAAAGCUAGGGUAGCGAACGGGAUUAGAUACCCCCGUAGUCC